rnacentral:rRNA from 1 species
AUUGAACGCUGGCGGCAUGCCUUACACAUGCAAGUCGAACGGCAGCACGGGUGCUUGCACCUGGUGGCGAGUGGCGAACGGGUGAGUAAUACAUCGGAACAUGUCCUGUAGUGGGGGAUAGCCCGGCGAAAGCCGGAUUAAUACCGCAUACGAUCUACGGAUGAAAGCGGGGGACCUUCGGGCCUCGCGCUAUAGGGUUGGCCGAUGGCUGUUUAGCUAGUUGGUGGGGUAAAGGCCUACCAAGGCGACGAUCAGUAGCUGGUCUGAGAGGACGACCAGCCACACUGGGACUGAGACACGGCCCAGACUCCUACGGGAGGCAGCAGUGGGGAAUUUUGGACAAUGGGCGAAAGCCUGAUCCAGCAAUGCCGCGUGUGUGAAGAAGGCCUUCGGGUUGUAAAGCACUUUUGUCCGGAAAGAAAUCCUUGGCCCUAAUACGGUCGGGGGAUGACGGUACCGGAAGAAUAAGCACCGGCUGACUACGUG